rnacentral:rRNA from 1 species
UACGUAGGUGACGAGCGUUAUCCGGAAUUAUUGGGCGUAAAGCGCCCCGCAGGCGGCUUAUCAAGUCUGACGUGAAAUCGCUCAGCUUAACUGGGCGCGGUCGUUUGGAAAACUGAUGGCUUGAGGGCAAGGAGAGGGGUGUGGAAUUCCCGGUGUAGUGGUGGAAUGCGUAGAGAUCGGGAGGAACAUCAGUGCGCAAGCGGCACCCCUGGCCUUGGCCUGACGCUCAGGGGGC